UUUUUUUUUUUUUUUUUGGCCAGGGCAUGGACAUUUUAAAAUGCAUUCUCUUCAAAUCCCAGGAAAGUGCUAGGAGGCCAGCAGAAUAUGUGUCACACUCUAUAAUGCAAGUACAUUCUUUUUAUAUUUUAUUUCCCCAAUACAUUAUUUUUAUUUUCUACUGUACAGCCUAGCGACCCAGUUACACAUACAUGUACACAUUCUAUUUUCGCACAUUAUCAUGCUCCAUCAUAAGUAACUAGGCAUAGUUCUCAGUGCUACACAGCAGGAUCUCAUUGCUCAUUCAUUCCAAAGGCAAUAGUUUGCAUCCACUAACCCCAAGCUCCCAAUCCUUCCCACUCCCUCCCCCUCCCCCUGGGCAACCACAAGUCUCUUCUCCAAGUCCAUGAUUUUCUUUUCUGUGGAAAGGUUCAUUUGUGCCAUAUAUUAGAUUCUAGAUAUAAGUGAUAUCAUAUAGUAUUUGUCUUUCUCUUUCUGACUUAUUUCACUCAGUAUGAGAGUCUCUAUUUCCAUCCAUGUUGCUGCAAAUGGCAUUAUUUUGUUCUUUUGAUGGCUGAAUUAUAUUCCCUUGUGUAUAUAUACUGCAUCUUCCUAAUCCAAUCAUCUGUUGAUGGACCUUUAGGUUGUUUCCAUGUCUUGGCUAUUGUGACUAGUGCUGCAAUGAACAUGCGGUGCAUGUGUCUUUUUUAAAGAAAGUUUGUCUGGGUAUAUGCCCAAGAAUGGGAUUGCUGGGUCCUAUGGCAGUUCUAUGUGUAGUUUUCUAAGGUACCUCCAUACUGUUCUCCAUAGUGGUUGUAAGCUUCCAUUCCCCAAGAGUGCAGGAGGGUUCCCUUUUCUCCACACCCCUCCAGCAUUAUUUGUGGACUCAUGAAUGACGGCCAUUCUGACUGGUAUGAGGUGGUAUCUCAUGGUAGUUUUGAUUUGCAUUUCUCUAAUAAUCAUGGAUUUUGAGCAUUUUUUCAUGUGCUUUUUGGCCAUCUGUCUAUCUUCCUUGGAGAAAUGUUUAUUCAGGUCUUUUGCCCAUUUUUCCAUUGGGUUGUUGGCUUUUUUGCUUUGAGUUGUAUAAUUUGUUUGUAUAUUUUAGAGAUACAGCCCUUGUCCGUUGCAUCAUUGGAAACUACUUUCUCCCAUUCCGAAGGUUGUCUUUUUGGUUUCUUUUUGUUUCCUUUGCUGUGCAAAAGCUUAUCAGUUUGAUUAGGUCCCAUUGGUUUAUUUUUGCUCUUAUUUCUGUUGCCUUGGGAGACUGACCUGAGAAAACAUUCAUAAGGUUGAUGUCCAAGAAUGUUUUGCCUGUGUUCUCUUCCAGGAGUUGGAUGGUGUCUUGUUUAUAUUUAAGUCCUUCAGCCAUUUGGAGUUUAUUUUGGUGCAUGGUAUGAGGGUGUGUUCUAGUUUAAUUGAUUUGCAUGCAGCUGUCCAGGUUCCCAACAAUACUUGCUUAAAAGACUGUCUUUUUCCCAUUUAUGUUCUUGCCUCCUUUGUCAAAGAUUAAUUGACCAUAGGUGUCUGGGUUAUAAUGUAAGCACAUUCUUUUUUUUUUUUUUUCCCUGUCUUUUUGGGCCGCACUUGAGGCACAUGGAGGUUCCCAGCCUAGGGUCUAAUCGGAGCUGUUGCUGCCAGCCUACCACAGCCACAGCAACGCCAGAUCUGAGCCAUGUCUGUGACCUACACCACAGCUCCAGCAAUGCUGGAUCCUUAACCCACUGAGUGAGGCCUGGGAUUGAACCCGCAACCUCAUGGUUCCUAGUUGGAUUCAUUUCCGCUGCACCAUGAUAGGAACUCCUGUAAGUACAUUCUUAACUAACGUAGGCAGACUUCCCUUUCUUACACAAAAUGUCCCAAAAACUAACACAACAUUUGAACAUGAGAAAAUAAGACAACAGCUUCUAAGCUAAAAAGAGAACUUCAGGUCCAUCAAAGAAAAAAUAAACAUUGAAAUUUUUAUUUUUUUUUUUUUGUCUUUUUAGGGCUGCACUCACAGCAUAUGGAGGUUCCCAGGUUAGGGGUCGAAUCAGAGCUACAGCUGCCAGUGUACACCACAGCCACAGCAACAUGUGAUCCAAGCUGUGUCUGUGACCUACACCACAGCUCACGGCAAUCUGGAUCCUUAACCUACUGAUGAGGCCAGGGAUCGAACCUGCAUCCUCAUGGAUUACUAGUCAGAUUCGUUUCCACUGAGCCACGACAGGAACUCCUGAAAUACUUCUUUCGGGCAAAAUUGUCAUAACACUAGACCAGCAUUUCACAUUUUUCUUUUUUUUCUUCUUCUUUUCCUUCAGAAUGGUGCAUAUCAUUGGCAAGUUUAAACCCAAAAAGCUGGAGAUUCAGAUUUUCAUCUCACUGAAUGAGGUUCAUGUUGGUCUUCAAUCUCAUUAACGUUUUUUUUUUUUUUGGCCAAGCCUGAAACAUGCAGAAAUUCCUGGGCCAGAGAUAGAACCUGUGGCACAGGAGCAACCCAAGCCUUUGCAGUGAUGACACUGGAUCCCUAAUCCACUGAGCCCCAAGAGAACUCCCCAUUAACUUUUUGAAACAUGUACGUCAUUUUAUAUUACUGACACCUUCAUUGCUCUAUUUCCUACCCUUUUAAAAAGAAAAUAAGAAGGGCAUCUACUAACCCCAUUGAGAAUGGAUAAGCAAUGAGAUCCUACUCUACAGCAUAGAGAACUACAUCCAAUCUCUUGGGAUAGAACAUGAUGGAAGAUAAUAGGAGGAAAAGAUUGCACAUACAUGUAUGAAUGGGUCACUUGGUCGUACAGCAGAAAUUGGCAGAACAUUGUAAAUCAACUACUUUAAUAAAAUAAAUUUUAAAAAGCAAGGCAAAAAUCAGUAAGGUAUUUUAAAAACUAUAUUGGCAUCACUGUACAAAGAUGAUAAAUCUGUCAAAAAGUAUCCAUUGACUGAUGGAGAAUUCUGCUCUUUAGGAACUCAUGUUAUCCAAGGGUCAGAUGAUACAGGGAUACCUAUAAAUAAACAUGUUUAUACAGAUUUUAAUAUAUACAAAUAAUGUUGUUAUGUGAUAUCUAUAUAAGGCAUGCAUCAAUAUAGAUAUCAUAUACAUAUAUAAAUAAAUAUCUAUGGAUACACACAGGGGUGGGUAUUUAAAUAAUAACAUAGGAGUUCCCUCUAUGGCACAACAGGAUUGGCCACAUCUCUGCAGUACCAGGACACAGCUUCCAUCCCUGGCCUGGUGCUAUGAGUUAAAGGAACCAGUGUUACCACAGCUGUGGCUCAGAUUUGAUCUGUGCCCCAGGAAUUCCACAUGCCAUGGGGUGUCCAAAAAAGCAAAAAAAAAAAAAAA
rnacentral:lncRNA from 9 species